CAGGAUUAGAUACCCUGGUAGUCCACGCCGUAAACGUUGGGAACUAGAUGUGGGGGCCAUUCCACGGUCUCCGUGUCGCAGCUAACGCAUUAAGUUCCCCGCCUGGGGAGUACGGCCGCAAGGCUAAAACUCAAAGGAAUUGACGGGGGCCCGCACAAGCGGCGGAGCAUGCGGAUUAAUUCGAUGCAACGCGAAGAACCUUACCAAGGCUUGACAUAUACCGGAAAAGUGCAGAAAUGUACUCCCCGCAAGGUCGGUAUACAGGUGGUGCAUGGUUGUCGUCAGCUCGUGUCGUGAGAUGUUGGGUUAAGUCCCGCAACGAGCGCAACCCUCGUUCUAUGUUGCCAGCACGUAAAGGUGGGAACUCAUGGGAGACUGCCGGGGUCAACUCGGAGGAAGGUGGGGAUGACGUCAAAUCAUCAUGCCCCUUAUGUCUUGGGCUUCACGCAUGCUACAAUGGCCGAUACAGAGGGCUGCAAUACCGCAAGGUGGAGCGAAUCCCAAAAAGUCGGUCUCAGUUCGGAUUGAGGUCUGCAACUCGACCUCAUGAAGUCGGAGUCGCUAGUAAUCGCAGAUCAGCAACGCUGCGGUGAUACGUUCCCGGGCCUUGUACACACCGCCCGUCAAGUCAUGAAAGUCGGUAACACCCGAAGCCAGUGGCCUAACCGCAAGGAA
rnacentral:rRNA from 1 species